rnacentral:sRNA from 1 species
GCCAGGUGCAGUGGUGCACGCCUGUAAUCCCAGUGGCUUGGGAGGCUGAGACAGGAGGAUCACAAGUUCAAAGCCAGCCUCAGCAAUGGCGAGGCAAUAAGCAACUCAGUGAAAUCCUGUCUCCA